rnacentral:rRNA from 1 species
AGAGGAAGUAAAAGUCGUAACAAGGUUUCCGUAGGUGAACCUGYGGAAGGAUCAUUAUUGAAUUAAACCUGAUAAGUUGUUGCUGGUUCUCUAGGGAGCAUGUGCACGCUUGUCAUCUUUAUAUCUCCACCUGUGCACCUUUUGUAGACCUGGAUAUCUCUCUGAGUGCUAGUCACUCAGGUUUGAGGAUUGAUGUUUGUCUUUCCUUACAUUUCCAGGCCUAUGUUUAUUCAUAUACYCAAUGUAUGUCAUAGAAUGUAAUCAAUGGGCCUUUGUGCCUAUAAACCUAUACAACUUUCAGCAACGGAUCUCUUGGCUCUCGCAUCGAUGAAGAACGCAGCGAAAUGCGAUAAGUAAUGUGAAUUGCAGAAUUCAGUGAAUCAUCGAAUCUUUGAACGCACCUUGCGCUCCUUGGUAUUCCGAGGAGCAUGCCUGUUUGAGUGUCAUUAAUAUAUCAACCUCUUCAGAUUUUGUUUGUUGAGUGUUGGAUGUGGGGGUAUUUUUUUGCUGGUCUUCUGAAGAUCAGCUCCCCUGAAAUGUAUUAGCGGAACAAUUUGUGGACCGUUCAUUGGUGUGAUAACUAUCUACGCUAUUGGAUGUCAAGCAGUUCAGCUUCUUAAUAGUCCAUUGACUUGGACAACUUUUCAUUAAUGUGACCUCAAAUCAGGUAGGACUACCCGCUGAACUUAAGCAUAUCAAUAAGCGGAGGAAAAGAAACUAACAAGGAUUCCCCUAGUAACUGCGAGUGAAGCGGGAAAAGCUCAAAUUUAAAAUCUGGCAGUCUUUGGCUGUCCGAGUUGUAAUCUAGAGAAGCGUUAUCCGCGCUGGACCGUGUACAAGUCUCCUGGAAUGGAGCGUCAUAGAGGGUGAGAAUCCCGUCUUUGA